rnacentral:lncRNA from 1 species
CAGACUUGGUCCUGUUCACCUGAGUGUGAAGUCAUUUGUCUCUUCUCCAUCCCCAAACACCAACAGACUUAUGGUUCCAUCGGAAUCUGGAGCUGGUGGUACCCCAACUUCAACUGUGCAGAUGGGAACAAUGUCCUAGGAUGUGGCAGAGGAACAUCAUGGGAAAAACCCAAGAUCUCUGAAUGACUGGAGCAGAGACACCCCACUCGCCUAGACUGUUCGCGUAAUUUUGAUCAAGCAUGUAAGAAGAAAUCCAUGUUCAACCAACAAGGGCUAAUAAGAAGAACUCUAAUAUUCAUCUCUUAUGAGGAAAUCAUCAUUGAGGCUCUUGAGCACUUGAAAUGUGGCUAGAUUUCAAAAUUUAGUAUGAAAAAUGUAAAAUAUUUCAUUAGUAAUUUUGACAUUGAUUGUAUGUUAAAAUGGUAAUACUUUGGAUCAUCAGACUCAAUAAAAUAUAUUAUUG